CCUACGGGAGGCAGCAGUGAGGAAUAUUGGUCAAUGGCCGCAGGGCUGAACCAGCCAAGUCGCGUGAGGGAUGACGGUCCUAUGGAUUGUAAACCUCUUUUGUCAGGGAGCAAAGGGCGCCACGUGUGGCGCUUUGCGAGUACCUGAAGAAAAAGCAUCGGCUAACUCCGUGCCAGCAGCCGCGGUAAUACGGAGGAUGCGAGCGGUAUCCGGAUUUAUUGGGUUUAAAGGGUGCGCAGGCGGAAUGUCAAGUCAGCGGUAAAAUUUCGGGGCUCAACCCCGUCGUGCCGUUGAAACUGGCGUUCUUGAGUGAGCGAGAAGUAUGCGGAAUGCGUGGUGUAGCGGUGAAAUGCAUAGAUAUCACGCAGAACUCCGAUUGCGAAGGCAGCAUACCGGCGCUCAACUGACGCUCAUGCACGAAAGCGUGGGUAUCGAACAGGAUUAGAUACCCCGGUAGUC
rnacentral:rRNA from 1 species